rnacentral:rRNA from 1 species
CUAAACCUUGAUGAGGCCAGUUGUUCACGAAUGUUACCACCAGCUUUGGACAAAACAUGAGCAAUACCCUCUUUAAGAACUUCAUUAUCCUCCUUCAGAAGUUCAAUGAUAUCUUCUUCGAAUCCAGAUAAAAGUGAAGGGAAGAAACUAGAUAUUGCCUGCAAUUAG